rnacentral:rRNA from 1 species
AUUGAACGCUGGCGGCAGGCUUAACACAUGCAAGUCGAGCGGUAGCACAGGGGAGCUUGCUCCCUGGGUGACGAGCGGCGGACGGGUGAGUAAUGUCUGGGAAACUGCCUGAUGGAGGGGGAUAACUACUGGAAACGGUAGCUAAUACCGCAUAACGUCGCAAGACCAAAGAGGGGGACCUUCGGGCCUCUUGCCAUCAGAUGUGCCCAGAUGGGAUUAGCUAGUAGGUGGGGUAAUGGCUCACCUAGGCGACGAUCCCUAGCUGGUCUGAGAGGAUGACCAGCCACACUGGAACUGAGACACGGUCCAGACUCCUACGGGAGGCAGCAGUGGGGAAUAUUGCACAAUGGGCGCAAGCCUGAUGCAGCCAUGCCGCGUGUGUGAAGAAGGCCUUCGGGUUGUAAAGCACUUUCAGCGAGGAGGAAGGUGGUGAGCUUAAUACGUUCAUCAAUUGACGUUAUUCGCAGAAGAAGCACCGGCUAACUCCGUG